GGAUGCGAUCAUACCAGCACUAAUACACCGGAUCCCAUCAGAACUCCGAAGUCAAGUGUGCUUGGGCGACGGACCCCCCUGGGAAGUCCUCGUGUUGCAUCCC
rnacentral:rRNA from 1 species